UACGGAGGGUGCAAGCGUUGCUCGGAAUUAUUGGGCGUAAAGGGUAGGUAGGUGGUCUUAUUUGUCUGGGGUGAAAGCCUUGAGCUUAACUCGAGAAGUGCCCCAGAAACGGUAAGACUGGAGUCCUGGAGAGGGUCGUGGAAUUCCCGGUGUAGCGGUGAAAUGCGUAGAGAUCGGGAGGAACACCAGAGGCGAAAGCGGCGACCUGGACAGGCACUGACACUCAACUACGAAAGCGUGGGGAGCAAACAGG
rnacentral:rRNA from 1 species